rnacentral:rRNA from 1 species
UACGGGGGGAGCAAGCGUUGUUCGGAUUUACUGGGCGUAAAGGGCGCGUAGGCGGCCCGGUAAGUCGGGAGUGAAAGCCCGGGGCUCAACCCCGGAACGUCUUUCGAAACUGCCGAGCUAGAGUGCGGAAGAGGCAACUGGAAUUCCCAGUGUAGCGGUGAAAUGCGUAGAUAUUGGGAAGAACACCUGAGGCGAAGGCGGGUUGCUGGGCCGACACUGACGCUGAUGCGCGAAAGCCAGGGGAGCGAACGGG